rfam:Oryza sativa Japonica Group DNA, chromosome 2, cultivar: Nipponbare, complete sequence.
CCAAUGGAUGAUGAGGAAUUGAUGUCCUACAUCCUUGCCGGUCUUGAUGAUGAUUGGGAACCAGUGGUGUCUUCCCUCGUCGGGAGACCAGAUGCAGUUUCCUUCUCCGAGUUCUACUCUCAACUUCUGAGCUUCGAAU